GCCGUAACUAGCCUCUUCAAAUAGUGAGGCAAAAUAUAUCGGCGAGCGGAGCGAGGCGAAAAAAUUUUGGCAUCAGAGCUUCUGGGGGCCGCUCAAGGCCCCAGAAACUCUGAGAAAACUAACGCAAAAACGUGCAUUCUUAGCGUUUCUCAGACUCUUUCUGACAUUGAAUUGCAAUUUAUUUUUAGCUUUUUUUUCGAC
rnacentral:lncRNA from 1 species